rnacentral:rRNA from 1 species
GCGGGUUAAAGGAGGAAAGGUGGCCUCUUGGUCAAAGCUACCGUAUAAGGAUGAGCCUGCGUACCAUUAGCUAGUAGGCGGGGUAACGGCCCACCUAGGCGACGAUGGUUAGCGGGUCUGAGAGGAUGAUCCGCCACACUGGAACUGGAACACGGACCAGACUCCUACGGGAGGCAGCAGUGAGGAAUAUUGCGCAAUGGGGGAAACCCUGACGCAGCGACGCCGCGUGAGUGAGGAAGGUUUUCGGAUCGUAAAGCUCUGUCAGAAGGGAAGAAGUGUUAUACGGUUAAUACCCGUAUAAUUUGACGGUACCUUCAGAGGAAGCACCGGCUAACUCCGUGCCAGCAGCCGCGGUAAUACGGAGGGUGCGAGCGUUGUUCGGAAUUACUGGGCGUAAAGGGCGCGUAGGCGGCCUUAUAAGUCAGAUGUGAGAGCCCACGGCUCAACUGUGGAAGUGCAUUUGAAACUGUCUGGCUUGAGUAUCGGAGGGGAGUGUGGAAUUCCCGGUGUAGAGGUGAAAUUCGUAGAGAUCGGGAGGAACACCGGUGGCGAAGGCGACACUCUGGACGAAUACUGACGCUGAGGCGCGAAAGCGUGGGGAGCAAACAGGAUUAGAUACCCUGGUAGUCCACGCCGUAAACGAUGUGAACUAGAGGUAGGAGGUGUUGAUCCCUUCUGUCUCGCAGCUAACGCAUUAAGUUCACCGCCUGGGGAGUACGGUCGCAAGAUUAAAACUCAAAGGAAUUGACGGGGGCCCGCACAAGCGGUGGAGUAUGUGGUUUAAUUCGACGCAACGCGAA